rnacentral:rRNA from 1 species
UUGUAAACUCCUUUUAUCUGGGAAGAAAUGCAUUUUUUCUAAAGUGCUUGACGGUACCAGAGGAAUAAGCACCGGCUAACUCCGUGCCAGCAGCCGCGGUAAUACGGAGGGUGCAAGCGUUAUCCGGAUUCACUGGGUUUAAAGGGUGCGUAGGCGGGCAGGUAAGUCCGUGGUGAAAUCUCUGAGCUUAACUCAGAAACUGCCAUGGAUACUAUUUGUCUUGAAUGUUGUGGAGGUAAGCGGAAUAUGUCAUGUAGCGGUGAAAUGCUUAGAUAUGACAUAGAACACCAAUUGCGAAGGCAGCUUACUACACAAAUAUUGACGCUGAGGCACGAAAGCGUGGGGAUCAAACAGGAUUAGAUACCCUGGUAGUCCACGCCCUAAACGAUG